GCGAGAAUAGCUCAGCUGGUAGAGCGCAACCUUGCCAAGGUUGAGGUCGCGGGUUCGAGCCCCGUUUCUCGCU
rnacentral:tRNA from 2 species